UACGGAGGAUCCAAGCGUUAUCCGGAAUUACUGGGCGUAAAGAGUUGCGUAGGUGGCAAAGUGUGUCGGUAGUGAAAGCGUGGGGCUCAACCCCAUAUACAUUAUCGAAACUGCUUGGCUAGAGGACGAGAGAGGUGCCUGGAAUUCCCAGUGUAGGAGUGAAAUCCGUAGAUAUUGGGAGGAACACCGAUGGCGUAGGCAGGGUACUGGCUCGUUCCUGACACUAAGGCACGAAAGCGUGGGGAGCAAACGGG
rnacentral:rRNA from 1 species